UUCCAGUAAUGUUAGAUUCUGGAAUACAACGAAUUUGAGAUUGUAGAUGGAGAUUGAUUUCCUUCAAACCCCAUCAUAAAUAAUUCUCGCUCAGGUGAUGUAACCCUCACUGAUAGAUGGGGGUACUGGGGAUCUGAUUGAGAUGAUCUCGUAUCGGUAAGCAAAGAAACAAGUCGACUGGUCGACUGACAGUGUUAGCCGUUUCAUAACCGGUUCGCAUUUGAUUGAUUUCUGAAACAAACUCGUAAAUGCAUGCAUUUCAAAGUGGAGCAGAGUUUUGAGAGCUGAGCUGAUCUGAUCUGAUUCCGGUUCCAAUUGCCACAAACAAGAGCCAUUUCUCAGCCGUCAUGUGCACUACUCCGAAUACUUCGAUUUAGAGGCUUGUUUACUCGAUAGGAAAAACAUAUUUUAACCAGUUUCAUUGCGUAUCUAAUCGGAAUACAAAUUAAAAGUGGAGUGGCUUUGUCGCUGGAAUUUAACACGCCCACAAAUGCGAAUCAGCUAUGGUCAUCGUCAGGUGGUGGUGGCGCCGUUAUGAUAAAUACUUGGGGUUUAUUUUGGGUGCAGAAAAUCAGAGAAGCAGAGAAGAAACCAGUUUGCGCGAAAUUAACCCAAAAAUGUCGGCUUAAACCUUGGCCGAACGCAGAUGCAACCAAAAACAGACCCCGCACUCUUCUUUUUUUUUUUUUUGGCACGUGAGUGGUUUGUCGUUUGGGCUGGAAAUACUCGCAAAAUACAGAACUCUUCAUUUGCGGCAACAUUGUUGCUGUGCAACAUGCUGCCAACAAACCUGUUGUCUGCCGACAGGCGAAAGAAGUUGCUCGCUCGAGCUCCAAACUCGAUUCGAAGAGAGCGUCCGGCCCCCUACCAGAAAAGCUUAGCUAAGAGACUGAGCGCCAAAGAGAGAGUGGGCGGCGAACGCACUUCUCUCUCUCUCUAUCACUCUCUCGGCAACUUCUUUUCGUGCGCGCUGCUCGGUUCUAUGGUCUGUUUCGUCAUGCCAGUCGCUCGAGCGACUUGUUUGAAAAUAGCAGCAGCAGCAGUGGCAAAAAGUUCGAUAAACGUCAAAGCUCUUACAGCAAAUAUUUGAAAAGAUUUGAAAGCAAUAUAGAGAGUGUGACGGCAGCAGUGUAAACAAUCGGAGCACUGUUUGCUGUUUACGUGCAACGAAACGAAAGGAAAACCAAUAGAAAAAUCUAUAUAGUAUUCGUAUUCAAAAAGCGCACCAAAGCAGAGAGCGUGAUAAAACGUGUGGCAACAACAGAAGCACAAAACGGCAAACCCACACACACACACACACACACACACA